rnacentral:rRNA from 1 species
GAUGAACGCUGGCGGCGUGCUUAACACAUGCAAGUCGAACGGAAAGGCUCCUGCUUGCAGGGGUACUCGAGUGGCGAACGGGUGAGUAACACGUGGGUGAUCUGCCCUGCACUUCGGGAUAAGCCUGGGAAACUGGGUCUAAUACCGGAUAGGACCACAUUUUGGAUGGUGUGGUGGAAAGUUUUUCGGUUUGGGAUGAGCUCGCGGCCUAUCAGCUUGUUGGUGGGGUAAUGGCCUACCAAGGCGUCGACGGGUAGCCGGCCUGAGAGGGUGUACGGCCACAUUGGGACUGAGAUACGGCCCAGACUCCUACGGGAGGCAGCAGUGGGGAAUAUUGCACAAUGGGCGCAAGCCUGAUGCAGCGACGCCGCGUGGGGGAUGACGGCCUUCGGGUUGUAAACUCCUUUCGCUAGGGACGAAGCGCAAGUGACGGUACCUGGAGAAGAAGCACCAGCUAACUACGUG